rnacentral:rRNA from 1 species
AUCCCGUAACUUCGGAAUAAGGGAAGGUCUUGAAAAAGACCCGCAGUGAAUAGGCCCAAGCGACUGUUUACCAAAAACACAGGUUUCUGCAAAAGCGUAAGCUGAAGUAUAGGAGCUGACGCCUGCCCAGUGCUGGAAGGUUAAGAUGAUUUGUAAGAUGGACGAAAGUCGAUAACAUCGAAGCAAUGAAUUGAAGCCCCAGUGAACGGCGGCGAUAACUAUAAUCGUCCAAAGGUAGCGAAAUUCCUUGUCAGGUAAGUUCUGACCCGCACGAAAGGCGUAACGAUUUGGGCACUGUCUCAACCAUAGACUCGGUGAAAUCUUAAUACCUGUGAAAAUGCAGGUUACCCGCGACAGGACGGAAAGACCCCAUGGAGCUUUACUGUAGCUUGAUAUUGAAGUUAGGUAAUUUAUGUAGAGGAUAGGUGGUAGACUAUGAUGUAUGGACGCCAGUUCAUACGGAGUCGCCCUUGGAAUACCACCCUUAAAUUAUUUGACCUCUAACUUACUCCCGUUAUCCGGGAGGAGGACAGUGUCUGGUGGGCAGUUUGACUGGGGCGGUCGCCUCCCAAAGAGUAACGGAGGCGCUCAAAGGUUCCCUCAGAUUGGUCGGAAAUCAAUCAAAGAGUGUAAUGGUAUAAGGGAGCUUGACUGCGAGACCUACAAGUCGAGCAGGUGCGAAAGCAGGACAUAGUGAUCUGGCGGUAGAAUAUGGAAUUGCCGUCGCUUAACGGAUAAAAGUUACCCUGGGGAUAACAGGCUGAUAGCGCCCAAUAGUUCACAUAGACGGCGCUGAUUGGCACCUCGAUGUCGGCUCGUCACAUCCUGGAGGUGGAUUCGCUUCCAAGGGUUGGGCUGUUCGCCCAUUAAAGUGGCACGCGAGCUGGGUUCAGAACGUCGUGAGACAGUUCGGUCCCUAUCCGUCGUGGGCGUAGGAAAAUUGAUGAGAGCUGUUCCUAGUACGAGAGGACCGGAAUGGACAUACCUCUGGUGUAUCUGUUGUAACGCCAGUUGCAGUGCAGAGUAGCUAUGUAUGGACGGGAUAACCGCUGAAAGCAUCUAAGCGGGAAGCCUCCUCCAAGAUGAAUUUUCCCAUUCUUCGUGAAGUAAGAUUCCUUGUAGACUACGAGGUUGAUAGGCUAGAGGUGGAAGCGUAGUGAUACGUUGAGCUGACUAGUACUAAUAGAUCGAGGAUUUAACUUA